rnacentral:rRNA from 1 species
GACAGAGGUGGGCAAACGUUUGUUCGGAAUUAUCUGGGCGUAAAGCGCGUGUAGGCGGUCUCGCAAGUCGGAUGUGAAAGCCCAGGGCUCAACCCUGGAAGUGCACUCGAUACUGCGAGGCUAGAGUCCCGGAGAGGAUGGUGGAACUCUCGGUGUAGAGGUGAAAUUCGUAGAUAUCGAGAAGAACACCGGUGGCGAAGGCGGCCAUCUGGACGGUGACUGACGCUGAGACGCGAAAGCGUGGGGAGCAAACAGG